rnacentral:rRNA from 1 species
UAAGCAUAUCAAUAAGCGGAGGAAAAGAAACUAACAAGGAUUCCCCUAGUAACUGCGAGUGAAGCGGGAAAAGCUCAAAUUUAAAAUCUGGCAGUCUUUGAUUGUCCGAGUUGUAAUCUAGAGAAGUGUUAUCCGCGCUGGACCGUGUACAAGUCUCCUGGAAUGGAGCGUCAUAGAGGGUGAGAAUCCCGUCUUUGACACGGACUACCAGGGCUUUGUGAUGCGCUCUCAAAGAGUCGAGUUGUUUGGGAAUGCAGCUCAAAAUGGGUGGUAAAUUCCAUCUAAAGCUAAAUAUUGGCGAGAGACCGAUAGCGAACAAGUACCGUGAGGGAAAGAUGAAAAGAACUUUGGAAAGAGAGUUAAACAGUACGUGAAAUUGCUGAAAGGGAAACGCUUGAAGUCAGUCGCGUUGUCCAGGGAUCAACCUUGCUUUUGCUUGGUGCACUUUCUGGUUGACGGGUCAGCAUCAAUUUUGACUAUUGGAAAAAGAUUAGGGGAAUGUGGCAUCUUUGGAUGUGUUAUAGCCCUUGGUUGUAUACAAUAGUUGGGAUUGAGGAACUCAGCACGCCGCAAGGCCAGGUUUUUAACCAUGUACGUGCUUAGGAUGCUGGCAUAAUGGCUUUAAUCGACCCGUCUUGAAACACGGACCAAGGAGUCUAACAUGUCUGCGAGUGUUUGGGUGGAAAACCCGAGCGCGUAAUGAAAGUGAAAGUUGAGAUCCCUGUCGUGGGGAGCAUCGACGCCCGGACCAGACCUUUUGUGACGGUUCCGCGGUAGAGCAUGUAUGUUGGGACCCGAAAGAUGGUGAACUAUGCCUGAAUAGGGUGAAGCCAGAGGAAACUCUGGUGGAGGCUCGUAGCGAUUCUGACGUGCAAAUCGAUCGUCAAAUUUGGGUAUAGGGGCGAAAGACUAAUCGAACCAUCUAGUAAGCUGGUUCCUGCCGA